GCCCUGUGGUUCCUGGAACCUGCUAUUCUGUGCAGUUCUCCAGGUUUUUGAUAGGGCAUAUAUUAACUCUGUGAUUUUUGCGUGGAGCCUGUGGCUUUAUACAUCAGUCUCCAUAGCCCGGUCUCAGAAACAUUU